GAAAUGCGAUAAGUAAUGUGAAUUGCAGAAUUCAGUGAAUCAUCAAAUCUUUGAACGCACAUUGCGCCCCCUGGUAUUCCGGGGGGCACACCUGUUCGAGCGCCAUUUCUACCCUGGAGCCCUGCUCUGUGAUGGGCCCCGUCCUCGCGGACGGGCCCGAAACCUGUGGGCGCCGUUGUCCGGUCCUGAGCGUAGCAAGAGAAAUCCCUCGCUCGGAGCAUCAGGCAGUGGCCGCCCCGACACACUUUUACAAGGUUGGCCUCGGAUCAGGUGGGGAUACCCGCUGAACUUAA
rnacentral:misc_RNA from 1 species